ensembl:lncRNA
AUUUUUCAACAUGUAAAAACGUGCCAUAUGAUGAAAUAAUGUAAAGUAGGCCGUGGAAAACACUCCAGAAAGGUUUUCUUUGAAAAAAAAUCAACAUGAAUUUUGGCGUGAAAAAAAAUGCCAUAGUAUACUAUGUCGAAAAAUGUCAUUUUUCAACAUGUUGUGAAAACAUGCCAUAUGAUGAAAUAAUGUAAAGGAGGCAGUGAAAAACACUCCAGAAAGGUUUUCUUUGAAAAAAAAAAUCAACAUUAAUUUUGGCGUAAAAAAAAAAAACGCCAUAUUAUACUAUGUCGAAAAAUGUCAUUUUUCAACAUGUGAAAACAUUCCAUAUGAUGAAAUAAUGUAAAGGAGGCAGUGAAAAACACUCCAGAAAGGUUUUGUUUGAAAAAAAAUCAACAUGAAUUUUGGCGUGAAAAAAAAUGCCAUAGUAUACUAUGUCGAAAAAUGUCAUUUUUCAACAUGUUGUGAAAACAUGCCAUAUGAUGAAAUAAUGUAAAGGAGGCAGUGAAAAACACUCCAGAAAGGUUUUCUUUGACGAAAAAAUCAACAUGAAUUUUGGCCCAAAAAAAAAACGCCAUAGUAUACUAUGUCGAAAAAAAACCUGCGAUUUUUCGACAUGUUGCAAAAACGUGCCAUAUGAUGAAAUAAUGUAAAGGAGGCUGUGAGAAACACUCCAGAAAGGUUUUCUUUGAAAAAAAAAAUCAACAUGAAAUUUGGCGCAACAAAAACGCCAUAGUAUACUAUGUCGAAAAAUGUCAUUUUUCAACAUGUUGUGAAAACAUGCCAUAUGAUGAAAUAAUGUAAAGGAGGCCGUGACAAACACUCAAGAAAGGUUUUCUUUGACGAAAAAAUCAACAUGAAUUUUGGCCCAAAAAAAAAACGCCAUAGUAUACUAUGUCGAAAAAAAACCUGCGAUUUUUCGACAUGUUGCAAAAACGUGCCAUAUGAUGAAAUAAUGUAAAGGAGGCUGUGAGAAACACUCCAGAAAGGUUUUCUUUGAAAAAAAAUCAACAUGAAUUUUGGCGCAAAAAAAAAACGCCAUAGUAUACUAUGUUGAAAAAUGUCAUUUUUCAACAUGUUGUAAAAACGUGCCAUAUGAUGAAAUAAUGUAAAGUAGGCUGCGACAAACACUCCAGAAAGGUUUUCUUUGAAAAAAAAAAUCAUCAUGAAUUUUGGCGCAAAAAAAAACGCCAUAGUAUACUAUGUUGAAAAAUGUCAUUUUUCAACAUGUGGUAAAAACGUGCCAUGUGAUGAAAUAAUGUAAAGUAGGCCGUGGAAAACACUCCAGAAAGGUUUUCUUUGAAAAAAAAAUCAACAUGAAUUUUGGCGCAACAAAAACGCCAUAGUAUACUAUGUCGAAAAAAAAUUUUGAUUUUUCAACAUGUUGUAAAAACGUGCCAUAUGAUGAAAUAAUGUAAAGGAGGCAGUGACAAACACUCAAGAAAGGUUUUCUUUGACGAAAAAAUCAACAUGAAUUUUGGCCCAAAAAAAAACGCCAUAGUAUACUAUGUCGAAAAAAAACCUGCGAUUUUUCGACAUGUUGCAAAAACGUGCCAUAUGAUGAAAUAAUGUAAAGGAGGCUGUGAGAAACACUCCAGAAAGGUUUUCUUUGAAAAAAAAUCAACAUGAAUUUUGGCGCAAAAAAAAAAACGCCAUAGUAUACCAUGUCGAAAAAUGUCAUUUUUCAACACUAAAUCUUAUUGAAAAAUAUGUUUUACUUAAGUCCACCUGUUUCAGCCAUCUCUACCCCUCAUUAGGUACCACUCUAAGGUAAAUUAUUCAAAAAAAGUCCAGUAGAUGUCACUGUGUUUUGAAAUAGCAUGCAGAGCAAGUUUGUCUGCUCACAGGAAGUUAGCACAAGCAAAAUCACUCCUCACAUGAGGCCUCUGUUUGCUGUGCUUUUCAAAGGUAAAGUAAUACUUUUGACAUAUUAUGAUGCCUGAGGAGCUGAACACAAAUGUGUCAUUUGAAAUGUAAAAAAAAAAAAAAAAAAAAAGGGUAAAAUAAUUUUUCUCAACCGUUUGGUAGAGGUCAAUAUUUUAAAAAUUGCUGGGUCUCUUCAUAAAAAAAAAAUUGAUUGUUGUUAUUAGUGCCCCAAAGAGAUAAGAAAUAUAAAGAAAUAAUUUUUUCAUCGCCUUUUUCUUGGUGAGGAUGUUUAAGGGUUAACUUAACAUCUGUAAACAAAACAAAAACGUAUCAACAAAGUUUUCUGUUAGAGUUUGUGUUCUUAUAACUUUAACUCCAAGAUUUUAAAUACUUUCGUUUACUGCAAAUGAAUAUCUACUCCAAAUGUCUCACUAAUAAUCAUUAUCAGCCUUAAAAACCCACAAAACACCCCUCUAUACUCCACCACACUUAGUACAGUCCGGUUCCCCCUUCUAUAAAUCUGCUUGGAAUCUUCCACUUCCUGUUUGUCAAAGUGGCCUUCUACCUGGACAGGUUUUGUUGGAGCUCAUGCAACAAACAUUUUGGGUAACUGCACUUUAAUAUGGAUGGAUGAUACUGAAUUAGAGUCUGUUUUAAUGAGACUGAGUUAAGAUGUGUAGCUCUGUCAUUAAAUAGGAAAUUAUUUCUCAGAAUUCACAGAGAAAAGUCUGAAAUGUUUGCUCGGUUAGCAUCCCACAUGUUCUUUGGCUCAGCUAAAGCUAACCCUCUCCACCUUCUGGAUCUCUUGAGUUGCUUGUUGUUAAAAUAUCUUGCUAUAGGUGCUGAACCUCAAAGUCUGAGAUGUUUGUUCAAAAUAAGCUCAUUCUCAAAUCUUAUCUGAACUGUCCUCUUUUGUUUGAACUUUCCCUAAACUUAGCAGUUAAUGACAGAGCAGCACAUCCAGACUCAGUCUCAUUUAUGUAGAGAUUAAACUUCAGUGUCAUUCAUUGAUGUUAAAGUGCAGUUUUUCAAAUGUUUGUUGCACAUGCUCCCGACCAAAGCAGUCCAGGUGGAAGACGAUGUGAAGAGAAAGCUCCAGAGGAUGAAUAUCACACAUUUACGUUGGAAAUAAAUGUCCUUUAAUUAGACAUUGUCAUGCAAAAGUUGGAUUUCCCUUUAAUGAUGUUCAAAUCUUUGAGUGUUUUGUUGAUGUUGGUUUCUAAAUGUUUUGUGACACUCGGCCCCAAAGAUUAAAACCUUCUACGGCUCACAAGCUGCAACAAUUCACACAUUAUCAACUAUCUUUCUGACUAAAAUAAAAAGUGAAAAACUGCCUGAUUCCUGCAUCAUGAAUGUAAAUCUUUUUGGUUUUUAUGACAGUAAACUCAAUAUAUUUGGGUUUGACAUUUUAUAAUCCAAAACAAGAAAUGAAUUACUGGAGAAAACAAUCAACAGAUUAAUGCACAAAGAAAAUGUGUUUUCCAACAUAUAUGGCUGAAUUACUCUAACAUUACAAGAUACAUAGAAUUUUAAUUCAAUUUUAUUUAUAUAAUGCCAAUUACAGGUCAAAUUGUUUCAAGAUGCUUUAUUUUUAUAUUUUUUGGUCAUAUUUAAAAUAUGACAAAGUAAGAAAUUUAAACAUCUUGACUAAUCCAAUUUAUUAUUUGUUUUUUAAG